rnacentral:rRNA from 1 species
AGGUUGGCUUAGAAGCAGCCAUCCUUUAAAGAAAGCGUAACAGCUCACUGGUCUAGUGAUUCUGCGCGGAAAAUAUAACGGGGCUAAGAUGUACACCGAAGCUUUAGAUUCAAUUUUUAAUUGAGUGGUAGGAGAGCGUUCUAUUCAGCGUUGAAGGUAUACCGGUAAGGAGUGCUGGAGCGGAUAGAAGUGAGCAUGCAGGCAUGAGUAGCGAUAAUUAAGGUGAGAAUCCUUAACGCCGAAAACCCAAGGUUUCCUACGCGAUGCUCGUCAUCGUAGGGUUAGUCGGGUCCUAAGUCGAGACUGAAAAGUGUAGACGAUGGCAAAUUGGUUAAUAUUCCAAUACCAACAUAUAAGCGCGAUGUGGGGACGCAUAGAGUUAAUCGAGCUCACUGAUGGAAUAGUGGGUCGAAGGACGUAGGUUGUUAAGUAGGCAAAUCCGCUUAACGUUAGACCGAGAUCUUACAGGCUCUUGACACUCUUCGGAGGAGAUGGAGAAUCGAUGAUACUGUCGUGCCAAGAAAAGCCACUAAGUAUAUUGUAUGUUGCCCGUACCGUAAACCGACACAGGUGGGUGGGAUGAGUAUUCUAAGGCGCGUGGAAGAACCCUGGUUAAGGAACUCUGCAAACUAGCACCGUAUCUUCGGUAUAAGGUGUGCCUACUUUGGUAUAUGGACUUGCUCCAAAAAGCUAAAGAGGUUGCAACAAAGAGUCCCUCCCGACUGUUUACCAAAAACACAGCACUUUGCUAACACGUAAGUGGAUGUAUAAGGUGUGACGCCUGCCCGGUGCUCGAAGGUUAACUGAUGAUGUCAGCGCAAGCGAAGCAUUUGAUUGAAGCCCGAGUAAACGGCGGCCGUAACUAUAACGGUCCUAAGGUAGCGAAAUUCCUUGUCGGUUAAAUACCGACCUGCAUGAAUGGCGUAACGAGAUGGGAGCUGUCUCAACCAGGGAUCCAGUGAAAUUGUAGUGGAGGUGAAAAUUCCUCCUACCCGCGGAAAGACGGAAAGACCCCGUGCACCUUUACUACAGCUUGACACUGUAGCUUGGAUAUUCAUGUGCAGGAUAGGUGGGAGGCUAUGAUGACUAGACGCAAGUAGAGUCGGAGCCAUCCUUGAGAUACCACCCUUGAAUAUUUGAGUUACUAACUGCGUACAAUUAUCUUGUAUCAGGACAAUGUCUGGUGGGUAGUUUGACUGGGGCGGUCGCCUCCUAAAAAGUAACGGAGGCUUACAAAGGUUAGUUCAAAGCGGUUGGAAAUCGCUUGUUGAGUAUAAUGGCAUAAACUAGCUUGACUGUGAGACAUACAAGUCGAACAGAGACGAAAGUCGGUCAUAGUGAUCCGGUGGUUCUGUGUGGAAGGGCCAUCGCUCAAAGGAUAAAAGGUACGCCGGGGAUAACAGGCUGAUCUCCCCCAAGAGCUCACAUCGACGGGGAGGUUUGGCACCUCGAUGUCGGCUCAUCGCAUCCUGGGGCU